UACAGAGGUCCCAAGCGUUGUUCGGAUUCAUUGGGCGUAAAGGGUGCGUAGGCGGCGCGGAAAGUCGGGUGUGAAAUUUCGGAGCUUAACUCCGAAACUGCAUUCGAUACUCCCGUGCUUGAGGACUGGAGAGGAGACUGGAAUUUACGGUGUAGCAGUGAAAUGCGUAGAGAUCGUAAGGAAGACCAGUGGCGAAGGCGAGUUUCUGGACAGUUACUGACGCUGAGGCACGAAGGCCAGGGGAGCAAACGGG
rnacentral:rRNA from 1 species